UACGUAGGGGGCAAGCGUUGUCCGGAAUCAUUGGGCGUAAAGCGCGCGUAGGCGGCCCGGUAAGUCCGUUGUGAAAGUCAAAGGCUCAACCUUUGAAAGCCGAUGGAUACUGCCGGGCUAGAGUCCGGAAGAGGCGAGUGGAAUUCCUGGUGUAGCGGUGGAAUGCGCAGAUAUCAGGAGGAACACCGAUAGCGAAGGCAGCUCGCUGGGACGGUACUGACGCUAAGGCGCGAAAGCGUGGGAGCGAACAGG
rnacentral:rRNA from 1 species